rnacentral:rRNA from 1 species
GAAUUUUAUAUAUGAUUUCAUAAAAAUUAUAAAUUUUAAAGUUGUAUGAAAUUAUAUAUUUAGUUGGGAGGAUUGUUAAAUUUAAUAAACUUUAAUUGGAAAAAGAUAUAAAUGAAUAGUAAAAUUAGAAUUUGAUGGAUUUACUGGAAAUUAGGAAAGAAAUAAUUACCUUAGGGAUAACAGCGUAAUAUUUUUGGAAAGAUCAUAUUGAUAAAAAUGAUUGC